rnacentral:rRNA from 1 species
GCCUACGGGGGGCAGCAGUGGGGAAUAUUGCACAAUGGGGGAAACCCUGAUGCAGCGACGCCGCGUGAGUGAGGAAGUAUUUCGGUAUGUAAACCUCUGUCCUCUGUGAAGAUGAUGACGGUAGCAGAGGAGGAAGCUCCGGCUAACUACGUGCCAGCAGCCGCGGUAAUACGUAGGGAGCGAGCGUUGUCCGGAUUUACUGGGUGUAAAGGGUGCGUAGGCGGCUUGGCAAGUCAGUAGUGAAAUCCAUGGGCUUAACCCAUGAACUGCUAUUGAAACUGUCGAGCUUGAGUGAAGUAGAGGUA